AGACAAACGGGUUAGAGAGAGAGAGAGAGAGAGAGAGAGAGAGAGAGAGAGAGAGAGAGAGAGAGAGAGAGAGAGAGACAGGUUAGAGAGAGAGAGAGAGACAGGUUAGAGAGAGAGAGAGAGAGACAGGUUAGAGAGAGAGAGAGAGACAGGUUAGAGAGAGAGAGAGAGACAGGUUAGAGAGAGAGAGAGAGACAGGUUAGAGAGAGAGAGAGAGACAGGUUAGAGAGAGAGAGAGAGAGAGAGAGAGAGAGACAGGUUAGAGAGAGAAAGACAGGUAGAGAGAGAGAGAGAGAGAGAGAGAGAGAGAGAGAGAGAGAGAGACAGGUUAGAGAGAGAGAGAGAGACAGGUUAGAGAGAGAGAGAGAGACAGGUUAGAGAGAGAGAGAGAGAGACAGGUUAGAGAGAGAGAGACAGGUUAGAGAGAGAGAGAGAGACAGGUUAGAGAGAGAGAGAGAGACAGGUUAGAGAGAGAGAGAGAGACAGGUGAGAGAGAGAGAGAGAGACAGGUUAGAGAGAGAGAGAGAGACAGGUUAGAGAGAGAGAGAGAGAGAGACAGGUUAGAGAGAGAGAGAGAGAGAGACAGGUUAGAGAGAGAGAGAGAGAGAGAGACAGGUUAGAGAGAGAGAGAGAGAGAGACAGGUUAGAGAGAGAGAGAGAGAGAGAGACAGGUUAGAGAGAGAGAGAGACAGGUUAGAGAGAGAGAGAGAGAGACAGGUUAGAGAGAGAGAGAGAGAGACAGGUUAGAGAGAGAGAGAGAGAGACAGGUUAGAGAGAGAGAGAGACAGGUUAGAGAGAGAGAGAGACAGGUUAGAGAGAGAGAGAGACAGGUUAGAGAGAGAGAGAGAGACAGGUUAGAGAGAGAGAGAGAGACAGGUUAGAGAGAGAGAGAGAGAGACAGGUUAGAGAGAGAGAGAGAGAGACAGGUUAGAGAGAGAGAGAGAGAGACAGGUUAGAGAGAGAGAGAGAGAGACAGGUUAGAGAGAGAGAGAGAGAGACAGGUUAGAGAGAGAGAGAGAGAGACAGGUUAGAGAGAGAGAGAGAGAGACAGGUUAGAGAGAGAGAGAGAGAGACAGGUUAGAGAGAGAGAGAGAGACAGGUUAGAGAGAGAGAGACAGGUUAGAGAGAGAGACAGGUCAGAGAGAGAGAGAGAGACAGGUUAGA